UCAGUAUCCUUCUUUCUCUUUCUUUCUCGUUCUUCUUCUUUCCUCGUCUCUUUUCUUUCUUCCACUGUUCUUUAUCUUCUGCAUGUGAUUGAGAAAUCAAAUGGAGGCGGUGUGAUCAACAUAUGGUGGAGUAGAUCAUACAGUAGUCUCUGGUGAUGGUGUUGAAGAUGAAUUAUCGUUGGAUGAAGAAGAAAGUACGGAUUGGAGAAAAUCGAAGUUAGAGUUUCUGAUUUAGGAUUGGGUGUGACUGAGGAUGAUGUUGGGUCGAUGAAGAUGAAAGAUCGAGAGGGUUGACAUUUAAUUGAAGUUGUUGAGUUGUUUUGAGGGUUGAAUCAAAGAAUUAGGGUUUCUGCAAUUCAAUGAAAAUAUGAUUGGAGGUGAUUAAGAAGGAAUUAGAGGAUGGGUGUUGACGAACGUGAUGUAAGGAAGAUUGUUAUGGUUUUAAUUUGGAGAUUUGGUUAUAGGGAAGAAGAUUGAUUAAGAAACUUUGAAUUAGGGUUUGUCAUGUUCUUCCCUAAAUCGUGAAAUUAGGGUUCCUAUUCUGAGUUCAAAAUAAAGAAGAAUAGAGAAUAAUUAAAGAUGAAUUUUAGGGUUUUGAAGGAUGAUUGGAAGUGGGUUUGACUCUUAAUAGAAAGUAGAAGAUUGAGAAUUUGUUCUAGAGUUUUGAGAAUCAAAGAUGAUGAUGAGGAUCGAGGGGUGUUGUGGUUGAUCUUGAGCUGAGUUGAUGAACUGGGAUAAGUGAAGAAGGAAUUGAAUUCAAGUGUUAGAGUAACACAUAUUUGAGGUAAUUGUUACUUUCAGUAAAGAUUAGUUCAAUUCCAAUAUUGUGUUUAUUGCUUCUUAGUGAACUGCGAAUGGAGUUUGUUAUGGUUUGAAGCUUUAAUGUUGGUUAGUAUGGAAUAGACAGAAUUAGAGAAGUUUAGAAAGAAGUUGUGGGUGAAAUUUAGAUUAUAACUGAGAUACAGGGAGUAAUUGGUGGUGGUAAAUCUGGGAAGAUGAGUUAAAUAUAAGAGGUGUUGUUGUUGUAUGGUUAUGAAGGUUGAUUAAUGCAGUGAGUGAUAAAUGAAGCUUGGAUGUAUGGAAUAUGAGCUCCAUGUAGCUGGAAUUGUAAUUAGUGUUGAUUUGAUGUAAAGAACUGAGUUGCAGCUGAAGUAAUUGUGUUGGUAAGGAUUCGGUUUGAAUGAAUAGAAUCUCUGAAGUUGAUGUGGACUUGGUAGAUUUGUGAUACAACUGGUGGUGGUAUGAAUUGCAGUUGUGUUGAAUGUUGCAUGGCAUGGAUAAAAUAGUGGAAUUCGUUUGUAGUGCAUAUGCGAGUUAUGAUUGUACAGAUUUGGUAGUAAUGAUAGUAUGUGCAUUUUUUGAUCAGUGUUGAACUUUGGAAGUGAUAAUGGUAGAUAAGACGGUAUGGAUGAUUGCUGAUGAAUAUUAUGAAAUGAGCUGAUGUUGAUGCUGUGGGGUUUUAGUUCUGACAUUGUAGCUGAGCUGUAGAGUUGGUUUCGGAGGUGAUGUUUGAUAGAAUUGAUUGUGUUGGGAAGAGUUUGUUGAAGUAGUCUACAAUAUGGCUGCAACUAAUGGAUUGUAUAUGUAGGAAGAGUAUGGCUUAGUACUGCAAUUGCAGUUUCAGAGACAUCAGAGUUGCGCAGCGGAAGCUUCAAGGGUCGAGUUCGUUAGUUUUUUAACUUUUGCUAUGUUUAUUAUGUUGCAUAUUAUAUUUGUAAACCAAACGACUAUUGUAUAUGUAUCAUUUGAGAGAACUUCUUGUAUAUAUAUAUAUCUGAGCGGGGUUAGUUUUGGGAUAA